UGGAUGAACGAAAAACGCAACCCCGCGUUAUCAUAAUAAAAAAAAUUAUGAGAGUAACUACGUUACAUUAAGUUCUAGGUAAAUUUUGAUAAUGACAUUAUUUAUCUAUAAGUCUUGACUAAAUCAUGUGCCAGCAGUCGCGGUAAGACAUGGAAGACAAGUGUUAUUCAUCUUUAUUAGGUAUAUUGGGUACUCAGACAGUUAAUUAAGCCGAUAAGGUACUAAUUAUACUAGAGUUUUAUAAGAAAGGGCUAGAAUGGUGAGUGUAGUGAUAAAAUACGUUGAUGCCACUUAGAGACUGGCAACGGCGAAGGCAACCUUUUAUGUAAAAACUGACGUUAAAGUACGAAGGCUUAAGAUAAGAAACAGGAUUAGAUACCCCAGUACUGUAGGCAGACAAUGAUGAGUGCCAUAUAUAAGUAUAUAUAUAUAACUAAUAAAAAAGUUAUAUAAUUAUUUGUGUAUAAACGAAAGUGUAAGCACUUCACCUCAAGAGUAACAUGGCAACAUGGGAACUGAAAUCAUUAGACCGUUUCUGAAACCAGUAGUGAAGUAUGUUGUUUAAUUUGAUGACCCACAAAGAACCUUACCACAAUUUGAAUGUAUUCACAGGAGUUGCACGGCUGUCUUCAGUUGAUAUCGUGAGAUUUUGGUUAGCUCCAUUGGAUCAACGUAAACCCUAACUUUAUUUUUUUCAUAAAGUGGAUCAACAACAUAUAGAUUAUGAUAAUAGGGACCAAGACAAGUCAUCAUGACCCUACGUAGAU
rnacentral:rRNA from 1 species